rnacentral:rRNA from 1 species
AUGGGAAGGUGGGAUGGCGUGAUGUCCGGCGGCUCCUGUUUUGCAGCGCUGUGGUUGGUGAUUGCGGUCGACGUCGAGCUUUGGGUUGUGAUCGCAGCGAAACUACAGGGGGUGGUCGUGCAUGGUCUACUUCAUGACAUCAUUGUUUGCGUUCUGGUUGAAUUUUGGUUGGUUGUGGGAGUGCACGGGAGGAGGGAUAUAUACAGUUGGAUGAGCUGCCGAGAGAGAUCAUGGGGAGUCCCACGUCCUGCAAUCGUGCGCCACUACAGGGAGAGAACUGGCUGCACGAUCGGGCAUUACAGCUGA